AGCCGCGUUGGCCGCCGUUGCUGCCAGCUGUGUCUGCUGUCAUCUGCCCUGAAUACAACAGCGCGGCAGUUGUGGUGGCAAAACACAGAGGUGUGUGCCGUGGUAGCCGCCGCGGUGUGUAAGAACCGGACUGUAAAUUGCAAAGGUAGAUCAUUGCAACAGUUGCAACUCCAACUAAAAUUGGAAAAGGGGAAAGACCACACAUUGUGCGCACGGCCGAUAAGCAAGCCGGCUACGAGGAGAGGCGCAAACAGCAGAGACGCGACUAAAACCAACGACAACUUACCUGUGCGAAAGCGGAGAAUGCGGCGAGUGGCUUUGCCUCCGAAAAACGUCAGCGAGAGCUGAUGCGAAAGUAUAAUCUUCGGCGUCGAGAGCAAGCUACCGAUGAAGAUGGCGCACUGGAGGCCGCUCGUAAGCGUCAAGCUAGGCCGUUCGAGUCUGCGUCAAAGUGGGAGAAGCUGUAGGAGGCUACGUAUUGGAUAGACGAAAGACACUGCCCCGUGAAGCUGUCACCGUGAUUCUUAAUAAUCUCGCUGUUAUUUCCAUAGAGUUCCCUCCUACGGAAAGUAGCUGCUCGAAAAUGAAGAAGUUACUGGCUGUUCUGUUUACAAUAUUCGCAAACUAUGUGCCAUACACUUACCAAUCACCUAUAUAUGACACUGCAGCCGGCAUGACGCAG